rnacentral:tRNA from 1 species
GGCUAUGUAGCUCAGUGGUACAGCACAUGCCUAGCAUGUACAAAGGCCCUGAGUUCAAUACUCAGCACCACCA